AGCGAACGCUGGCGGCAGGCUUAACACAUGCAAGUCGAGCGGGCACUUUCGGGUGUCAGCGGCGGACGGGUGAGUAACGCGUGGGAACGUGCCCUCUUGUUCGGAAUAACUCAGGGAAACUUGAGCUAAUACCGGAUACGCCCUUUUGGGGAAAGGCUUGCUGGCGGAGGAUCGGCCCGCGUCUGAUUAGCUAGUUGGUGAGGUAACGGCUCACCAAGGCGACGAUCAGUAGCUGGUCUGAGAGGAUGAUCAGCCACACUGGGACUGAGACACGGCCCAGACUCCUACGGGAGGCAGCAGUGGGGAAUAUUGGACAAUGGGCGCAAGCCUGAUCCAGCCAUGCCGCGUGAGUGAUGAAGGCCUUAGGGUUGUAAAGCUCUUUUAUCCGGGACGAUAAUGACGGUACCGGAGGAAUAAGCCCCGGCUAACUUCGUG
rnacentral:rRNA from 1 species